UGCUAAUACCGCAUAAGACCACGGAGUCGCAUGGCACUGGGGUAAAAGGAGCAAUCCGGUUUGGGGUGAGUUCGCGUCCGAUUAGCCAGUUGGUGAGGUAACGGCCCACCAAAGCGACGAUCGGUAGCCGACCUGAGAGGGUGAUCGGCCACAUUGGAACUGAGAGACGGUCCAAACUCCUACGGGAGGCAGCAGUGGGGAAUAUUGGGCAAUGGGCGAAAGCCUGACCCAGCAACGCCGCGUGAGUGAAGAAGGCCUUCGGGUUGUAAAGCUCUGUUAUAGGGGACGAAGGAAGUGACGGUACCCUAUAAGGAAGCCCCGGCUAACUACGUGCCAGCAGCCGCGGUAAUACGUAGGGGGCGAGCGUUGUCCGGAAUGACUGGGCGUAAAGGGCGUGUAGGCGGCCUGAUAAGUCUGGAGUGAAAGUCCUGCAUUUAAUGUGGGAAUUGCUUUGGAUACUGUCGGGCUCGAGUGCGGAAGAGGUAAGUGGAAUUCCCAGUGUAGCGGUGAAAUGCGUAGAGAUUGGGAGGAACACCAGUGGCGAAGGCGACUUACUGGGCCGUAACUGACGCUGAGGCGCGAAAGCGUGGGGAGCGAACAGGAUUAGAUACCCUGGUAGUCCACGCGGUAAACGAUGAAUGUUAGGUGUUGCGGGUAUCGACCCCUGCAGUGCCGGAGUAAACACAAUAAACAUUCCGCC
rnacentral:rRNA from 1 species